rnacentral:lncRNA from 1 species
UGAAGAUAAAGUAACCAGAAGUCUUAGAGAGGAAGUAACGGUCAGCUGCGUGAAAAGAAACUUCCUGGAAACUUAAUGUAGUGUGAAAAAAAAAGAAAUGUAUAAAAGAAGAAGGAAGAGGUGAAGAACUAGAGCAUGACAAAAAACUGAGCACAGAUCAGUUUGAGGAGACGAGGAGAAGAAAAAGGCUUGACGGUGUUUCUGAAAGUGUUUCCACCCGUUGAGUUGCUGUUUCUUGUGAGUUUUUGAGCGAAGAAGGUUCAUCCAGUGGAGGAAAAGAUCUGUUGCAGAAAAUGUUUGCUGCCAAAGUGCUAAUUCUCGUCUUGGUCGUCACAGGUAAAAGGGCAUCAUCGAUCAUUUAAACUGUUUUUUUUUUUUUUUUUACACUUUAUGCAAAGUUUUUAAAGAAAAAGUAAAUAAAGAUGCUAUUGGCUUUGGGAUUUCUUCAUUUUCUUCAUAAAUGUGACUUUUCUUGUUUUUCGUUGCAUAUUUGUUGUGGUCUAAAGGUCAUUAUGGGAGUGAAAUCUCUUCGACUACUACAAGAACAAGCCCGGUGACACAAAAUCCCCCAAAACUGAAGAUCAAACACAAAACCAAACCACAAGUAAGUAUGAAUUAAUAAUAUUUAAAAAGGUCAUCAUUGUUACAUAAGUAGUAUUAAGUGCAAACUGGAUUCACACUCAAUUCCCUUUUCUGUUUGUUGUUCUUAUCUUUAGUGGUCACAGCGGUCAACAGCUCCGACACCAGUAUGACAAAUAAAACCAACGUAUCUAAGGUAAAGGCAACAUUUUCAAAAUAAUUAUUUUAAAUAAAUUAAAAAAGUUUCGGACUUAACAAUAUGCAAAAAAGUGACCCUGUAAAAUGUUUUUUUUUUAUAUAUAUUCUUAAGAGGGGAAGAAAUUCUGGUACAGCAAAGGUAAGCAGGAACACUAUGAAAAUUUAUUUCUACCAUUAAAAAUUUGUGUUGUAAAUGUUUGGUUUUCGAAAUAACAACCAUGAAAAUUUGAUCUCAGAUCUGUUUAAAAAUGUGACGGAAAGUAUCCAGGAACUGCCGGGCAUGAUUUUAUUUGGAUCGGGGUUUCUGAUGGGAAUCGUUCUCACGACAUUGAUCGUCUGCAUCACCAAAGCUUGUCAAAGAGGCAAGAAGAAAAGAUCAUCCUAUCAAUUGGGAGACCAGGAGAUGAAUACCCAAGCCUCAACAAAGGUGGAUGGAGAUGCAGUCCAGGAUGAAGAGUCAGCGGGACAGUUGUUACCCAAUGGGGACGGGGCUCCAAAAGAAGCAGAGUACUCUGAUCUUGACUUCUCUGCGGCAAAAAACAGGAAGGCCCCAGAGGUCAGGACAAUCGGAGAGACUGAAUACGCUGAGAUUAAAAUAGAAAACCAAGCAGAGAAUGCUGAGGAUUGGAAAUAUUGGAGAUUAACCACGAAACACUGAAGGAAGAUGAAAAUGAAGGGGAAAUGCUUUGCGUCCCGCCUGAAGAGGCAGCCACAGAAGACUUCUCUGGAGAGUUCAUUGAAGAGUUCUCUGGACAGAUUACUGAUGAGACCUGAACUCUAACUGCUAAUGGAGUAAUAUACAAAAAAAAAGAUUUUAUUUUAUACAUGUAUUAUAUGCAUUGACCGUUUAUGAGAACUGGACUGAAUCACUCCUCCCCUCUUGCAUUCUAAACAGGAAGUAUCCACUGGCUCCAAGAAGCCAAAAUCCCAGAGACUUCUAUUGAGAAUUAAGCAGCUACGACUCAGUCAUUACAUUUGUUAUAAUAACCAUUCUCGUUUUAACAUUUUUUUUGCUAAUUCUACUUUUUUGUUAUAAUAUUUUCAUAGUGCAAGUUACUUGAGUCCUAAACUGUUCAAUCAGGUGCCUCAAAAGAAUGUGGCGCCCGCUGCCUACGUCAAACAUGAUUUCAAUCUGACAGAUCUUAUGUCAUCUCAUCCAUUCUGAAGUGAGAGGGGUGUGGACUUCCAAUAAGCUAACUUCUAAUUAGUGAGAGUGGUUACCAUAGAAACACUGACUGACACCAACGUGGACCAAUCCCUGCUCACUGAUGUCAUCUGGCUCCAACAAGGCAGUGUCUGUUUAUAUAUGUUUAGCUGAAUUUAGUUAUUUUUGUGGAAACUGGAAGUAGGUAAUUUUUUUUUUUUUUUGGUCAUGUCACACUUUCAGUCCAGUUCUCAUGUACUGCCAAUCAAAUUAAGCUUUAUUUGUAAAUAUAUAUGCUUUUCAUGGCACACAGCUCAAACUGCUUUAUAGUUAAAAAUAAACAUGAGGACAAAAAAAAAAAAAACAUAAUAAUGAUGAAAACAAACCUAUCCUUUGCCUGCUCCUUAACCUCCAUUGACUCACAAUGAAAAUAAUGACAGCAGUUAUGAAAAAGACUUUGGGUGUUGUUUAGGAACACAAUCUUGCUUUAUAUUACCACUUUUUCCACAAU